GACAGAGGGUGCAAACGUUGUUCGGAAUUACUGGGCGUAAAGCGCGUGUAGGCUGCUCCGAAAGUCGGAUGUGAAAGCCCUGGGCUCAACCUAGGAAGUGCACUCGAAACUUCGGAGCUGGAGUCCUGGAGAGGAAGGCGGAAUUCUCGGUGUAGAGGUGAAAUUCGUAGAUAUCGAGAGGAACACCGGUGGCGAAGGCGGCCUUCUGGACAGUGACUGACGCUGAGACGCGAAAGCGUGGGUAGCAAACAGG
rnacentral:rRNA from 1 species